UCAGAGCAAGAGGGCAAGGAGACAAACCCUAACUUCACAAAUUCUCAAAAAUCAGAAGGAAAUUAGGAGUUCUAAUGGAUGCAUGAACCCUAAAUCGAAUAAUCUAAGCUUGUUCAACUCUUGGUGUUAAGGAAGAGGGCUCGAGUCAAGUGAAGAAACAAGGGAACCAAGAUCGAGGUAAAUCUCAAGUUUAAUGACAAGCUUUGCCCGGUCCGAACACACUUCAAGCUCGUCAUGCGUUCUGCAACUUUUGUAAAGAAGACAAUGUUAAUAUGUUUGUUUUAUUAGAUAUGUCUAGUAGUUAAAAGCUUGAACUUUGUCUUGUUCGUUUUUUUUAAAACUUAGUCGGUCGUAAGUAAUCUAGCAUGAUGGUUUCGUAUGUGAAACCAAGGUCCGUUUUGAUGUAGUACAUUAUGUCUUUUGAAACGUAGCGUAUGUU